GGUGAGUAACACGUGAGUAACCUGCCCCUGACUCUGGGAUAAGCCUGGGAAACUGGGUCUAAUACUGGAUAUGACUACUGGCCGCAUGGUCUGGUGGUGGAAAGAUUUAUCGGUUGGGGAUGGACUCGCGGCCUAUCAGCUUGUUGGUGAGGUAGUGGCUCACCAAGGCGACGACGGGUAGCCGGCCUGAGAGGGUGACCGGCCACACUGGGACUGAGACACGGCCCAGACUCCUACGGGAGGCAGCAGUGGGGAAUAUUGCACAAUGGGCGCAAGCCUGAUGCAGCGACGCCGCGUGAGGGAUGACGGCCUUCGGGUUGUAAACCUCUUUCAGUUGGGAAGAAGCCUUUCGGGGUGACGGUACCUUCAGAAGAAGCGCCGGCUAACUACGUGCCAGCAGCCGCGGUAAUACGUAGGGCGCGAGCGUUAUCCGGAAUUAUUGGGCGUAAAGAGCUCGUAGGCGGUUUGUCGCGUCUGCCGUGAAAGUCCGGGGCUUAACUCCGGAUCUGCGGUGGGUACGGGCAGACUAGAGUGCAGUAGGGGAGACUGGAACUCCUGGUGUAGCGGUGAAAUGCGCAGAUAUCAGGAAGAACACCGAUGGCGAAGGCAGGUCUCUGGGCUGUAACUGACGCUGAGGAGCGAAAGCAUGGGGAGCGAACAGGAUUAGAUACCCUGGUAGUCCAUGCCGUAAACGUUGGGCACUAGGUGUGGGGGACAUUCCACGUUUUCCGCGCCGUANCUNACGCAUUAAGUGCCCCGCCUGGGGAGUACGGCCGCAAGGCUAAAACUCAAAGGAAUUGACGGGGGCCCGCACAAGCGGCGG
rnacentral:rRNA from 1 species